rnacentral:tRNA from 1 species
AGCGGUGUUCCCGCAGGUCAGGCCUCGAAUGCUCAAAGGGCAGCAAGGGCUGGGCCAACGACGCCCGCUCGCGCUGGAUGCCCAGAGGUCGCAGGUUCAAAUCCUGCCCCCGCUA